CACGUAGGGCGCAAGCGUUGUCCGGAAUUAUUGGGCGUAAAGAGCUCGUAGGCGGUCUGUUGCGUCCGCUGUGAAAACCCGGGGCUUAACCCCUGGCUUGCAGUGGAUACGGACAGACUAGAGGUAGGUAGGGGAGAAUGGAAUUCCCGGUGUAGCGGUGAAAUGCGCAGAUAUCGGGAGGAACACCGGUGGCGAAGGCGGGUCUCUGGGCAACAACUGACGCUGAGGAGCGAAAGCGUGGGGAGCGAACAGG
rnacentral:rRNA from 1 species